rnacentral:rRNA from 1 species
CAAUAGCGUAUAUUAAAGUUGUUGCAGUUAAAAAGCUCGUAGUUGGAUUUCUGUGAGAGUGCCGGUGUCGGCUGAUGCUUGUACGCAGGCGCUCUUACAUCCUUCUGUUAACUGUUCUUGGCAUUUUAUUGCUGGUUCAGGGCUCAGAUAUUUUACCUUGAGAAAAUUAGAGUGUUUCAGGCAGGCUUAUGCCGGAAUACAUUAGCAUGGAAUAAUGGAACAGGACCUGUGCGUCUCUCGGGGCGCCGGUCUCCGUUAUUGGUUUCGGGGACUGAUGUAAUGAUUAAUAGGGAUAGUUGGGGGCAUUAGUAUUUAAUAGUCAGAGGUGAAAUUCUCGGAUUUGUUAAAGACUAACUUAUGCGAAAGCAUUUGCCAAGGAUGUUUUCAUUAA